CUGCAACGCGUCCCAGCCCAUCCAUUGAAUGGUUUGUUUUAGCCUGAGCUAUGGAAAAUUAUAGCCGCAUAGCUUCUUGCUAAAACAAACCAGUCGAUUCUAAUUGUAAGGGUUUUGA
rnacentral:pre_miRNA from 16 species